UACGGAGGGGGCUAGCGUUGUUCGGAAUUACUGGGCGUAAAGCGUGCGUAGGUGGUUCGUUAAGUCGGGGGUGAAAUCCCGAGGCUCAACCUCGGAACUGCCUUCGAUACUGGCGAUCUUGAGUCCGGGAGAGGUGAGUGGAACUGCGAGUGUAGAGGUGAAAUUCGUAGAUAUUCGCAAGAACACCAGUGGCGAAGGCGGCUCACUGGCCCGGUACUGACGCUGAGGUGCGAAAGCGUGGGGAGCAAACAGG
rnacentral:rRNA from 1 species